rnacentral:rRNA from 1 species
CGAGAAAGCGUGUCUGUAGCAAUACAGACGCGCCUGUAAAGUGGCGAACGGGUGAGUAACACGUAGCUAACCUACCCUCGAGCGGGGAAUAACCCGGGGAAACCUGAGCUAAUACCGCAUAACAUUCCGGUGACAUAAGCCAUCGGGAUCAAGGGCCCGCAAGGGUCACUUGAGGAGGGGGCUGCGGCCGAUUAGCUAGUUGGUGGGGUAAUGGCCUACCAAGGCAAUGAUCGGUAGCCGGCCUGAGAGGGCGCACGGCCACACUGGCACUGAGAUACGGGCCAGACUCCUACGGGAGGCAGCAGUGGGGAAUUUUGCACAAUGCCCGAAAGGGUGAUGCAGCAACGCCGCGUGAGGGAUGAAGGCUCUCGGGUCGUAAACCUCUUUCGAUCGGGAAAAACGGGCGCGUGAAGAGCGCGUUCUGAUGGUACCGGAUGAAGAAGCCCCGGCUAACUACGUGCCAGCAGCCGCGGUAAUACGUAGGGGGCGAGCGUUGUUCGGAAUUACUGGGCGUAAAGGGCGUGUAGGCGGUGCGGUAAGUCGGGCGUGAAAUCCCCGGGCUUAACUCGGGGGGGCCGUUCGAAACUGCCGUGCUAGGGUGCGGGAGAGGGCAGUGGAAUUCCCGGUGUAGCGGUGAAAUGCGUAGAUAUCGGGAGGAACACCUGCGGCGAAGGCGGCUGCCUGGACCGUUACCGACGCUGAGGCGCGAAAGCUAGGGGAGCAAACAGGAUUAGAUACCCUGGUAGUCCUAGCCCUAAACGAUGAGCAC